rnacentral:rRNA from 1 species
GACGAAGGAUGCAAGCGUUAUCCGGAUUCAUUGGGUUUAAAGGGAGCGUAGGCGGAUUUGUAAGUCAGUGGUGAAAUCUCUUCGCUUAACGAAGAAACUGCCAUUGAUACUGCGGAUCUUGAGUACAGUUGCCGUUGGCGGAAUAUGACAUGUAGUGGUGAAAUACUUAGAUAUGUCAUAGAACACCAAUGGCGAAGGCAGCUCGCUGGGACGGUACUGACGCUGAGGCGCGAAAGCGUGGGGAGCAAACAGG